AAACGUAGGAGGCGAACGUUAUUCGGAAUCACUGGGCGUAAAGGGCGCGUAGGCGGGUUUGUAAGUCAGGUGUGAAAUCCUACAGCUCAACUGUAGAACUGCACUUGAAACUACAGACCUAGAGUAUGGAAGGGGCAGAUGGAAUUAGUGGUGUAGGGGUAAAAUCCGUAGAUAUCACUAGGAAUACCGAAAGCGAAGGCGAUCUGCUGGGACAUUACUGACGCUGAGGCGUGAAAGCGUGGGGAGCAAACAGGAUUAGAUACCCUAGUAGUCC
rnacentral:rRNA from 1 species